rnacentral:rRNA from 1 species
CAGUCGCCGCGGUAAUACGUAGGGUGCAAGCGUUAAUCGGAAUUACUAGGCGUAAAGCGUGCGCAGGCGGUUGUGUAAGUCUGAUGUGAAAGCCCCGGGCUCAACCUGGGAACUGCAUUGGAGACUGCACGGCUAGAGUGCGUCAGAGGGGGGUAGAAUUCCGCGUGUAGCAGUGAAAUGCGUAGAGAUGCGGAGGAAUACCGAUGGCGAAGGCAGCCCCCUGGGAUGACACUGACGCUCAUGCACGAAAGCGUGGGGAGCAAACAGGAUUAGAUACCCCUGUAGUCCCUGUCUCUUAUAC